rnacentral:snoRNA from 1 species
GUGCAAAUGAUGUGAACGUUUGUUACCACUGAGUAAAGUGAUGCUUCCAAAGGAACCACUGAUGCAC